rnacentral:tRNA from 1 species
UAGAGUGUAGCUCAAUGACAGAGCACUUGCCUAUCAUGCAAGAAGUCCAAGGUUCAAAUCUCAGCACUGUAA